rnacentral:rRNA from 1 species
AGACUGGGAUAACUCCGGGAAACCGGGGCUAAUACCGGAUGGUUGUUUGAACCGCAUGGUUCAAACAUAAAAGGUGGCUUCGGCUACCACUUACAGAUGGACCCGCGGCGCAUUAGCUAGUUGGUGAGGUAACGGCUCACCAAGGCAACGAUGCGUAGCCGACCUGAGAGGGUGAUCGGCCACACUGGGACUGAGACACGGCCCAGACUCCUACGGGAGGCAGCAGUAGGGAAUCUUCCGCAAUGGACGAAAGUCUGACGGAGCAACGCCGCGUGAGUGAUGAAGGUUUUCGGAUCGUAAAGCUCUGUUGUUAGGGAAGAACAAGUACCGUUCGAAUAGGGCGGUACCUUGACGGUACCUAACCAGAAAGCCACGGCUAACUACGUGCCAGCAGCCGCGGUAAUACGUAGGUGGCAAGCGUUGUCCGGAAUUAUUGGGCGUAAAGGGCUCGCAGGCGGUUUCUUAAGUCUGAUGUGAAAGCCCCCGGCUCAACCGGGGAGGGUCAUUGGAAACUGGGGAACUUGAGUGCAGAAGAGGAGAGUGGAAUUCCACGUGUAGCGGUGAAAUGCGUAGAGAUGUGGAGGAACACCAGUGGCGAAGGCGACUCUCUGGUCUGUAACUGACGCUGAGGAGCGAAAGCGUGGGGAGCGAACAGGAUUAGAUACCCUGGUAGUCCACGCCGUAAACGA